rnacentral:rRNA from 1 species
UACGUAGGGUGCGAGCGUUGUCCGGAAUUAUUGGGCGUAAAGAGCUUGUAGGCGGUUUGUCGCGUCUGCUGUGAAAAUCCGGGGCUCAACCCCGGACUUGCAGUGGGUACGGGCGGACUAGAGUGUGGUAGGGGAGACUGGAAUUCCUGGUGUAGCGGUGAAAUGCGCAGAUAUCAGGAGGAACACCGAUGGCGAAGGCAGGUCUCUGGGCCACUACUGACGCUGAGAAGCGAAAGCAUGGGGAGCGAACAGGAUUAGAUACCCU